CAGACGGAUCUUAGUGUCCAGGGCGUCGUCGUACGAGAUUAUCCCUCACGAAUCGUAUGACGUUUUAUGUGUCUGUGUCUUGGCGUCCUCUAAACAUACUAUCAGGAAAAUUAAAGUUACCUUGCGAAAAUACAGGAACUUGUGAGGACUAAAAUCAGAGGAGGGCUCAGUGACACUAAUUAUUUUAAUUGACAAAUGAAUGAAUGAUUGGAACUUUGAUUGCAUAAAAAAUACAAUGACAACGCAGAACGAAAAUUUUUUUACUUUGACCCGGCCGAGGAUCAAACCCAG